rnacentral:lncRNA from 1 species
AUUCACUAACAGGACACCUUCAGCAUCUCGGUUAAACGCAGGACGGCACAUACAGGUGUGACAGCACAACCCGCACAGCAGAAGCAGGCAGGUAAAGGGGACCGUCUGCAUCAGCUUCAUUAAACAAGGCACAGCAACGCUCACUGUUGCUUUAACUCUAACGAAAGCCUGCUCAAUUCAAGGUACCCAAGCUGCCCCACGUCCUGCGUUCAGCCUUCUCCCCUCCCGCCGCGCCUGCCAACAGGCCUCCCCGCCAAAGCCCAGGACAAGAGCGGUCCGGGGCAGGACGAGGUUCCGGCUGCGCCAGUCGCGGAGGAACAGGCCGAGAAGAUCCUGGCCUGGCCGCGCCUCACCGCCCGGUACCUGCGGGCCCCUGAAAUCCGCUGCCGCCUCCGCCGCUCCUCUUCCGCUCCGGAGCACUUUUCCGUGCGUCCCGCGCGCCGCCGCCAGCCCAGCACUGCGCAGGCGCCGCGCCGCCGAUUGGCCGCCGGCCGCUCCUCCCCCUGCUCUUUUUCUCCCUCCUCCCGGCCCGCUGUCCGGCUCUUCUCUGCCCCGGGAGGUACCGCCCGCCUUCUCCCGCCCGCCUCCUGUCCCGCCCUGGGGCGAAGCACUGCCCGCGAGGCGGCUCCUGGCGGCCGGGGGCCGGCCUUGUUCCUGCUGGCUGCGCGUUGGUGCCGCUGUUUGCGUGAUGAAAGGAUGCGAUCUAUCCCGUGCAGAGAGGGAAAUGAGCACAGAAGCGAUGAAUGCUGCAUAAUUAAGUACAGUAUUUAAUUUGGCUGUUGUGAAGCAAAAGAAUAAGGGGGAGGGGAAGAAAGUCUCCAAAACCAACCCGUCGCGGUGAGUACACUACAGGCAGCCCAAGGGGCAAACGGCUGCUUCAUUUAACUCUGUCUUUUUGGCAGCUUCUAUCGGGAGGUUGGAGGGGGAGUGCUUUGUGCAUCUUUUUAAAGGUUGUGAAAAGGGCAGUCAUGUACCCACCAACAGAGAGUGAUUGCCUAUAGCUGAGAUCCCAUGUAUUUUAAAGAUACUGGUUUUAUCUGAAGCGCAGAUGUUUGUAACUUCUAUCAGAUGACAAUGUUUUGAAUGAGCUACUUUGUUAAGUGAAGAAACUUUGUGAACACCUGAUGCUUGCUGUUUUGCUGCUGUACCAUUUUCAGUUAGCAUGGUCUACAUUGUGUAUUCCGUUUUACAAAGCAUGUUUAUCUGACAGUUCAGUUCUUACCAUCCAAAACAUGCUGUAUAAUACAAGUUGUUUGUUUGUUGUUGUUUUUUUCUCGUAUCUUUUACCUCGUAUCUUUUAUCUGGUGUUAUGUCGGAUAAUUUAAAUGCAAGGAGUUUGCUGAAGUGAAUUUGGAGUGUUUAGUGGCUUGUCAUGCUGGCAGCUGUACGUUUGUCCUGAGUUCUUGCAUUUGAACAAGCAUUAAUUGUUACUGGAAACAGAAUAAAUGAACUAGAGAAGCUCA